CCAAUGAGGCACNAGAGGAUCUUUUCGAAGCUGAAACUGAAAGCACUUUAGAUGAAGUAAAAGAACAGCUGAGAGAACGAGUGAGGCAAAUUCUGAAGAAAAUUAAAGAAGUCAUUGAAACUGGAAAGCUUUUCCAGAAGGAAACUCUCCAAAAAGUAA